GGGUGCUUCUAUAGGGGAGAAUCCUAUCAGAUGUGUUGGGUCAAACUGAUACAUGUAUUUUAAACUUUGACAGAUUCUGCUAAACUAUCUUCAAAACCAAACCAAACCAAACAGUGUUCAUUUCCCCAUGCUCUUUCCAACACUGGGAGUUACCAACCUUCUGGAUGUUUCCCCGCCUGACUGGCUCUCACCAUUUCUUCUUUUUCUUCUUCUUUUUUUUGGUACCGAGGAUCAAACUCGGGACCUUGCACUCGUGAGGCAGGCGGCGGAACCACUGAGCCAAAUCGCCAGCCCACACCAUUUCUUCUUUUUGGCUUCAACCCAGAGUAAAAGGCUCUGUGCUGCCUCAGUUUACCACGUGGAUCUGAGCAGAUUACAUUUCCUCCACAUGGCACUGGUGAUGCUCUGGAGCUAUCAGGACAGAAAGGGAUUUUAGGCACUGCUCAACACCAGUCACUCUGAAAGGCAUUCAAGACGGUCCACACUGUUAAAGAUGGGUCUUCUGUAGUCUGGCACUUGACGUUUGUCACCCUAACACAACCUGUUUCUGUGGCCAAGUCACCAUGAAGCCAACUACACCUUACUUCUGCUUCCAUGGCUUGCCCAUGCUGGUCCUUGCAUCGAGCGCCUAAGUCACCCUGCUGUUUGGUCUCCUGGCUCUCCUAGGAAACGGAGGGACAAAGGGAU
rnacentral:lncRNA from 1 species